AUUUUAAUUACAUUUUGCUAAAAUGAACUAAAUGAACAAAAUGACUCGAAAAAAGAUUUGUUCAUUUUGUUGAACGAGACUCAAAAGUCCGAGUCAGUAAAAUGAUCUGAACUUCCCAUCACUAGGACUCAUUGGCCUAUAUUCACCCGAAAAGAUAACUGUCAAAUUAAAUCAACCAUCUGUAAUAUUUAAUUAAUUAUGAAAAGAUAUAACUGAAGUAAAACAUUUAGGCCAUGAAAUAAAUCACUAAAAUAUUAAUAUAAUAGUUUCUCUUGAAUGUGUACAUUUAAUCAGCACGUUCAUCCAUACAGAGCAAUAUUUGCCUGAUAUAUUAAUUUUUGUUUCUUUUUCUCCCUCUUCCUUGUGUGUAAUCAGAUCAUUGGUUCUGCUGUUAUUUAUUGCCAUCUAGUCCUGUUUGCAGAAUUAACUGUGGCUCCAGCCAUUAAGCAGACCUGAACCAGUUGAUGAAGGUCUUCAGGAUCACCAGAAACUACAGGCAGGUGUGUGAGAAAGUUGGAGCUACAUACUGCAGGACGUUGGUCCUCCAUGACCAGGACUGGACACCACUGUUGUCUAAGCCAGCCACAGUGGAUACAGUGAAGCCACAAACACAGUUCAUAGUUCUUGUAUUUCUAUUACACAUUAAAUAAUAAAAAAUAUCAUGUUAA